GAUGAACGCUAGCGGCAGGCUUAAUACAUGCAAGUCGAGGGGCAGCAUGGGUAGCAAUACCUGAUGGCGACCGGCAAACGGGUGCGGAACACGUACGCAACUUUCCCAGAACUGGUGAAUAGCCCUCCGAAAGGAGGAUUAAUACACCGUAAGAUAGAGAUGUGGCAUCACAUUUUUAUUAUAGCCCCGGCGGUUUUGUAUGGGCGUGCGCCUGAUUAGGGAGUGGGCGGGGUAACGGCCCACCAAGCCCACGACCAGUAACCGGGGUGAGAGGGCGACCGGGCACACGGGAGCUGGGACACGGGCCCGACUCCUACGGGAGGCAGCAGUAAGGAAUAUUGGUCAAUGGACGCAAGUCUGAGCCAGCCAUGCCGCGUGAAGGAUGAAGGCCCUCUGGGUUGUAAACUUCUUUUAUCUGGGACGAAAAAGGGGCAUUCUUGCUCAACUGACGGUACCAGAGGAAUAAGCACCGGCUAACUCCGUGCCAGCCGCCGCCGUAAAAC
rnacentral:rRNA from 1 species